rnacentral:rRNA from 1 species
UACGGAGGGAGCAAGCGUUACUCGGAAUUAUUGGGCGUAAAGGGCGCGUAGGCGAUUUGAAAAGUCUUGUGUGAAAGCCCCGAGCUUAACUCGGGAAGUGCACAAGAAACUGUUGAAUUUGAGUUCCGGAGAGGAAGGCAGAAUUCCCGGUGUAGCGGUGAAAUGCGUAGAUAUCGGGAGGAAUACCAGUGGCGAAGGCGGCCUUCUGGACGGAUACUGACGCUGAGGCGCGAAAAGCCAGGGGAGCAAACGGG